rnacentral:rRNA from 1 species
UGAGGAAUAUUGCGCAAUGGACGAAAGUCUGACGCAGCCAUGCCGCGUGCAGGAAGACGGCGCUACGCGUUGUAAACUGCUUUUAUAUACCAAGAAACCUCAGGACGUGUCCUGAGCUGACGGUAGUAUAUGAAUAAGCACCGGCUAACUCCGUGCCAGCAGCCGCGGUAAUACGGAGGGUGCAAGCGUUAUCCGGAUUUAUUGGGUUUAAAGGGUCCGUAGGCGGAUGAUUAAGUCAGUGGUGAAAGCCCACAGCUCAACUGUGGAACUGCCAUUGAUACUGAUUGUCUUGAGUACGUUUGAUGUUGGCGGAAUAUGUCAUGUAGCGGUGAAAUGCUUAGAUAUGACAUAGAACACCGAUUGCGAAGGCAGCCAACAAAGCCGUAACUGACGCUGAGGGACGAAAGCGUGGGGAGCGAACAGG